GGGUUGUGAGGUUAAGCGACUAAGCGUACACGGUGGAUGCCCUGGCAGUCAGAGGCGAUGAAGGACGUGCUAAUCUGCGAUAAGCGUCGGUAAGGUGAUAUGAACCGUUAUAACCGGCGAUUUCCGAAUGGGGAAACCCAGUGUGUUUCGACACACUAUCAUUAACUGAAUCCAUAGGUUAAUGAGGCGAACCGGGGGAACUGAAACAUCUAAGUACCCCGAGGAAAAGAAAUCAACCGAGAUUCCCCCAGUAGCGGCGAGCGAACGGGGAGCAGCCCAGAGCCUGAAUCAGUGUGUGUGUUAGUGGAAGCGUCUGGAAAGGCGCGCGAUACAGGGUGACAGCCCCGUACACAAAAAUGCACAUGCUGUGAGCUCGAUGAGUAGGGCGGGACACGUGGUAUCCUGUCUGAAUAUGGGGGGACCAUCCUCCAAGGCUAAAUACUCCUGACUGACCGAUAGUGAACCAGUACCGUGAGGGAAAGGCGAAAAGAACCCCGGCGAGGGGAGUGAAAAAGAACCUGAAACCGUGUACGUACAAGCAGUGGGAGCACGCUUAGGCGUGUGACUGCGUACCUUUUGUAUAAUGGGUCAGCGACUUAUAUUCUGUAGCAAGGUUAACCGAAUAGGGGAGCCGAAGGGAAACCGAGUCUUAACUGGGCGUUAAGUUGCAGGGUAUAGACCCGAAACCCGGUGAUCUAGCCAUGGGCAGGUUGAAGGUUGGGUAACACUAACUGGAGGACCGAACCGACUAAUGUUGAAAAAUUAGCGGAUGACUUGUGGCUGGGGGUGAAAGGCCAAUCAAACCGGGAGAUAGCUGGUUCUCCCCGAAAGCUAUUUAGGUAGCGCCUCGUGAAUUCAUCUCCGGGGGUAGAGCACUGUUUCGGCAAGGGGGUCAUCCCGACUUACCAACCCGAUGCAAACUGCGAAUACCGGAGAAUGUUAUCACGGGAGACACACGGCGGGUGCUAACGUCCGUCGUGAAGAGGGAAACAACCCAGACCGCCAGCUAAGGUCCCAAAGUCAUGGUUAAGUGGGAAACGAUGUGGGAAGGCCCAGACAGCCAGGAUGUUGGCUUAGAAGCAGCCAUCAUUUAAAGAAAGCGUAAUAGCUCACUGGUCGAGUCGGCCUGCGCGGAAGAUGUAACGGGGCUAAACCAUGCACCGAAGCUGCGGCAGCGACGCUUAUGCGUUGUUGGGUAGGGGAGCGUUCUGUAAGCCUGUGAAGGUGUGCUGUGAGGCAUGCUGGAGGUAUCAGAAGUGCGAAUGCUGACAUAAGUAACGAUAAAGCGGGUGAAAAGCCCGCUCGCCGGAAGACCAAGGGUUCCUGUCCAACGUUAAUCGGGGCAGGGUGAGUCGACCCCUAAGGCGAGGCCGAAAGGCGUAGUCGAUGGGAAACAGGUUAAUAUUCCUGUACUUGGUGUUACUGCGAAGGGGGGACGGAGAAGGCUAUGUUGGCCGGGCGACGGUUGUCCCGGUUUAAGCGUGUAGGCUGGUUUUCCAGGCAAAUCCGGAAAAUCAAGGCUGAGGCGUGAUGACGAGGCACUACGGUGCUGAAGCAACAAAUGCCCUGCUUCCAGGAAAAGCCUCUAAGCAUCAGGUAACAUCAAAUCGUACCCCAAACCGACACAGGUGGUCAGGUAGAGAAUACCAAGGCGCUUGAGAGAACUCGGGUGAAGGAACUAGGCAAAAUGGUGCCGUAACUUCGGGAGAAGGCACGCUGAUAUGUAGGUGAAGCGACUUGCUCGUGGAGCUGAAAUCAGUCGAAGAUACCAGCUGGCUGCAACUGUUUAUUAAAAACACAGCACUGUGCAAACACGAAAGUGGACGUAUACGGUGUGACGCCUGCCCGGUGCCGGAAGGUUAAUUGAUGGGGUUAGCCGCAAGGCGAAGCUCUUGAUCGAAGCCCCGGUAAACGGCGGCCGUAACUAUAACGGUCCUAAGGUAGCGAAAUUCCUUGUCGGGUAAGUUCCGACCUGCACGAAUGGCGUAAUGAUGGCCAGGCUGUCUCCACCCGAGACUCAGUGAAAUUGAACUCGCUGUGAAGAUGCAGUGUACCCGCGGCAAGACGGAAAGACCCCGUGAACCUUUACUAUAGCUUGACACUGAACAUUGAGCCUUGAUGUGUAGGAUAGGUGGGAGGCUUUGAAGUGUGGACGCCAGUCUGCAUGGAGCCGACCUUGAAAUACCACCCUUUAAUGUUUGAUGUUCUAACGUUGACCCGUAAUCCGGGUUGCGGACAGUGUCUGGUGGGUAGUUUGACUGGGGCGGUCUCCUCCUAAAGAGUAACGGAGGAGCACGAAGGUUGGCUAAUCCUGGUCGGACAUCAGGAGGUUAGUGCAAUGGCAUAAGCCAGCUUGACUGCGAGCGUGACGGCGCGAGCAGGUGCGAAAGCAGGUCAUAGUGAUCCGGUGGUUCUGAAUGGAAGGGCCAUCGCUCAACGGAUAAAAGGUACUCCGGGGAUAACAGGCUGAUACCGCCCAAGAGUUCAUAUCGACGGCGGUGUUUGGCACCUCGAUGUCGGCUCAUCACAUCCUGGGGCUGAAGUAGGUCCCAAGGGUAUGGCUGUUCGCCAUUUAAAGUGGUACGCGAGCUGGGUUUAGAACGUCGUGAGACAGUUCGGUCCCUAUCUGCCGUGGGCGCUGGAGAACUGAGGGGGGCUGCUCCUAGUACGAGAGGACCGGAGUGGACGCAUCACUGGUGUUCGGGUUGUCAUGCCAAUGGCACUGCCCGGUAGCUAAAUGCGGAAGAGAUAAGUGCUGAAAGCAUCUAAGCACGAAACUUGCCCCGAGAUGAGUUCUCCCUGACCCUUUAAGGGUCCUGAAGGAACGUUGAAGACGACGACGUUGAUAGGCCGGGUGUGUAAGCGCAGCGAUGCGUUGAGCUAACCGGUACUAAUGAACCGUGAGGCUUAACCUUACAACGCCGAAGGUGUUU
rnacentral:rRNA from 1 species